rnacentral:rRNA from 1 species
AUGGAUGAUGAGUACUACCUAUUUGCCGAUCAAGGAUCCGAUGCUGAUAACACUGACAUCGAUGAGCCUGUAGACUCCAACACGGGAUCUAUCGAGCUUGAUCCUUUCGACUAUGUGUACUCGAACAUCCCAGACAGCACGCACAUCCUGAAGCACGCGGCAAACUGCGACCAUUGCAAGGCCAAGAAGUUCCAGUACGAGACUGACGGCUUCUGCUGUCGGAACGGGGAGAUUAAGCUGGCUGAACCGGAGCCUAUCCCGGAGCUGAUGAGGUUAUGGUCUAGCACGGAUGGAGACUCUCGGCAUUUCCGGGAGAGCGUUCGGUUCUUCAACGGGCACUUCUCCUUCACUACCCUUGGUGUCAACCUAGACAACAACUACACAAACAUGAAGUCGGGAGUGUACACGUUUCGGGCACAUGGCACUAUGUACCACAAGGUGCACUCGUUCGGUCCAACAUCUCGUCCUGAUCAUCUGCAGUUGUACUUCUAUGACGACGACCCAAACUUAAGCCAUCGCAAGGAGGCCACCAAGCAAUUGGACCAGCGUGUUGUCAGCAAGUUAGUGGACAUCCUCAGGGAAAACCCCUACUCCCAGCAGUUUAGGAGUUUGGGUGCCCACAAGGAAAACCUCGAGGAGUACCGGAUAGACCUCAACAAUGACCAGAAGCUAGACCAACGGAGAUAUAACAGACCGGUGUCUCAUCUGAGGUGGCUGCGAUUUGGGUCGAGGGAAGCGAUCUAG